rnacentral:rRNA from 1 species
AGAGUUUGAUCAUGGCUCAGGACGAACGCUGGCGGCGCGCCUAACACAUGCAAGUCGAACGGAGUUUGUUGGAUUGAUCCUUCGGGAGAUUGAUAGCAAACUUAGUGGCGGACGGGUGAGUAACGCGUGAGCAACCUGCCUUUCAGAGGGGGAUAACGUCUUGAAAAGGACGCUAAUACCGCAUGAUAUUAUGGAGCCACAUGGCUCUAUAAUCAAAGGAGCAAUCUGCUGAAAGAUGGGCUCGCGUCCGAUUAGGUAGUUGGCGGGAUAACAGCCCACCAAGCCGACGAUCGGUAGCCGG